rnacentral:rRNA from 1 species
GACGAACGCUGGCGGCGUGCUUAACACAUGCAAGUCGAACGGAAAGGCCCUGCUUUUGUGGGGUGCUCGAGUGGCGAACGGGUGAGUAACACGUGAGUAACCUGCCCUUGACUUUGGGAUAACUUCAGGAAACUGGGGCUAAUACCGGAUAGGAGCUCCUGCUGCAUGGUGGGGGUUGGAAAGUUUCGGCGGUUGGGGAUGGACUCGCGGCUUAUCAGCUUGUUGGUGGGGUAGUGGCUUACCAAGGCUUUGACGGGUAGCCGGCCUGAGAGGGUGACCGGCGACAUUGGGACUGAGAUACGGCCCAGACGCCUACGGGCGGCAGCAGUGGGGAAUAUUGCACAAUGGGCGGAAGCCUGAUGCAGCAACGCCGCGUGCGUGAUGACGGCCUUCGGGUUGUAAACCGCUUUCGCCUGUGACGAAGCGUGAGUGACGGUAAUGGGUAAAGAAGCACCGGCUAACUACGUG